rnacentral:rRNA from 1 species
CGGGACACUGGGGAUAAUUCCGGAUAACGCAUAUGUGCUGGAAUGCUUUAUGCGUAAAAUGGAUUCGUCCGCCCAAGGAUGGGUCUGCGGCCUAUCAGGUAGUAGUGGGUGUAAUGUACCUACUAGCCGACAACGGGUACGGGUUGUGAGAGCAAGAGCCCGGAGAUGGAUUCUGAGACAUGAAUCCAGGCCCUACGGGGCGCAGCAGGCGCGAAAACUUUACAAUGCGGGAAACCGUGAUAAGGGGACACCGAGUGUCAGCAUCAUAUGCUGGCUGUCCAGGUGUGUAAAAUACACCUGUUAGCAAGGGCCGGGCAAGACCGGUGCCAGCCGCCGCGGUAACACCGGCGGCCCGAGUGGUGAUCGUGAUUAUUGGGUCUAAAGGGUCCGUAGCCGGUUUGGUCAGUCCUCCGGGAAAUCUGAUAGCUCAACUAUUAGGCUAUCGGGGGAUACUACCAGACUUGGAACCGGGAGAGGUAAGAGGUACUACAGGGGUAGGAGUGAAAUCUUGUAAUCCCUGUGGGACCACCUGUGGCGAAGGCGUCUUACCAGAACGGGUUCGACGGUGAGGGACGAAAGCUGGGGGCACGAACCGGAUUAGAUACCCGGGUAGUCCCAGCCGUAAACGAUGCUCGCUAGGUGUCAGGCAUGGCGCGACCGUGUCUGGUGCCGCAGGGAAGCCGUGAAGCGAGCCACCUGGAAGUACGGCC